rnacentral:rRNA from 1 species
AGUGAACGCUGGCGGUAGGCCUAACACAUGCAAGUCGAACGGCAGCACAGUAAGAGCUUGCUCUUACGGGUGGCGAGUGGCGGACGGGUGAGGAAUACAUCGGAAUCUACUUUUUCGUGGGGGAUAACGUAGGGAAACUUACGCUAAUACCGCAUACGACCUACGGGUGAAAGCAGGGGAUCUUCGGACCUUGCGCGAUUGAAUGAGCCGAUGUCGGAUUAGCUAGUUGGCGGGGUAAAGGCCCACCAAGGCGACGAUCCGUAGCUGGUCUGAGAGGAUGAUCAGCCACACUGGAACUGAGACACGGUCCAGACUCCUAAGGGAGGCAGCAGUGGGGAAUAUUGGGCAAAGGGCGCAAGCCUGAUCCAGCCAUACCGCGUGGGUGAAGAAGGCCUUCGGGUUGUAAAGCCCUUUUGUUGGGAAAGAAAAGCAGCAGGUUAAUACCCCGCUGUUCUGACGGUACCCAAAGAAUAAGCACCGGCUAACUUCGUG